ACUCAAAUGAAUUGACGGGGGCCCGCACAAGCAGCGGAGCGUGUGGUUUAAUUCGAUGCAACGCGAAGAACCUUACCUGGGCUUGACAUGCGCGUGGUACGGACCCGAAAGGGCGAGGACCCGCGAGGGAGCGCGCACAGAUGCUGCAUGGCUGUCGUCAGCUCGUGCCGUGAGGUGUUGGGUUAAGUCCCGCAACGAGCGCAACCCUCGCCGCCAGUUACCACGUCUGGCGGGACCGCCGGGUCCAACCCGGAGGAAGGUGGGGAUGACGUCAAGUCAGCACGGCUCUUACGUCCAGGGCUACACACACGCUACAAUGGCCGGUACAACGCGCGGCGAGGGGGCGACCCGGAGCGAAUCGCAGCAAAGCCGGUCUCAGUGGGGAUUGCAGGCUGCAACCCGCCUGCAUGAACGCGGAGUUGCUAGUAACCGCGGGUCAGCACACCGCGGUGAAUACGUUCCCGGGCCUUGUACACACCGCCCGU
rnacentral:rRNA from 1 species